ACAGCGAAGAGUUUGAUCCUGGCUCAGGAUGAACGCUAGCGACAGGCCUAACACAUGCAAGUCGAGGGGCAGCGAUUAUAUAGCUUGCUAUAUAAGUCGGCGACCGGCGCACGGGUGAGUAACACGUAUGCAAUCUACCUGUAACAAAGGGAUAACCCGGAGAAAUUCGGACUAAUACCUUAUGAUAUCAAAAAGUUGCAUGAAUUUUUGAUUAAAGAUUUAUCGGUUACAGAUGAGCAUGCGGAUCAUUAGCUAGUUGGUAGGGUAACGGCCUACCAAGGCGACGAUGAAUAGGGGUUCUGAGAGGAAGGUCCCCCACACUGGUACUGAGACACGGACCAGACUCCUACGGGAGGCAGCAGUGAGGAAUAUUGGUCAAUGGACGGAAGUCUGAACCAGCCAAGUCGCGUGAAGGAAGACGGCCCUUAGGGUUGUAAACUUCUUUUACUUGUGAGUAAAGUGUUUUACGAGAUAGAAUAUUGCAAUUAACAAGAGAAUAAGCAUCGGCUAAUUC
rnacentral:rRNA from 1 species